AGCUCUAUGCAUGGCAGUAUCAUAGCCAAAGAGGUUUAUCUGAGACAAGAUGCUUGCUAACUGAAAACAGUUCCCAGUACACUGCCGUGAUGACUUAAAAUACAGUUGGCACUGGCAAUUUUUGACAAUUUCUAUGGAGA